GGAGGUAGUGACAAUAAAUCACAAUGCGGAACUAUUAGUUUUGCAAUUGGAUUGAGAACAAUGUACAAAUGUUAUCGAUAAACAAUUGGAGGGCAAGUCUGGUGCCAGCAGCCGCGGUAAUUCCAGCUCCAAUAGCGUAUAUUAACGUUGUUGCAGUUAAAAAGCUCGUAGUUGAAUUGAAGUGAACUUGGAUUGAUGUGAUCUUCGGAUGACGUGAAUCAAAGUUGACUCUUUCCAAAGUCAAUACAUUGGUAUUCAUUUAUCUUUGUAUUGUGUUUGGUCAUUUACUGUGAGAAAAUUAGAGUGUUCAAAGCAGACGUUUGUUUGAAUACAUUAGCAUGGAAUAAUCAUAUAAGGCUUUCAUGUUGAUUUGAUUGGUUUGAAUAUGGAAGCAAGAUUAAAAGGGACAGUUGGGGGUAUUCAUAUUCAAUAGUCAGAGGUGAAAUUCUGGGAUUUAUGGAAGAUGAACAAGUGCGAAAGCAA
rnacentral:rRNA from 1 species